rnacentral:snRNA from 1 species
GGAUGUGAGGGCAAUCUGGCUGCAACAUCUGUUACCCCAUUGUUCGCCAGGGUUGAUUCCGCUGAUCUGGCUGGCUAGGUGGGUGUUCCCUUCCUCUCUCACCGCUCUAUGUGCAUCCCUCCGAAAGCUGCGAGCUCAGUUGAAGAGGACAGAACGACCACCCCUGAUAGAGGAAGACUGUUUCCUCGGUCAAGGAUAUACAAGUAGCUGCACUCCCCUGCUAGAACCUCCAAACAAGCUCUCAAGGUAUGAAAUGACAUGUUGGCUCCAGCUCCCAGAUUUCUGCCAUCUCUGCAGUGU